CGUACACUCCUGCGGGAGGCAGCAGUGGGGAAUAUUGCACAAUGGGCGCAAGCCUGAUGCAGCCAUGCCGCGUGUAUGAAGAAGGCCUUCGGGUUGUAAAGUACUUUCAGCGGGGAGGAAGGCGAUAAGGUUAAUAACCUUGUCGAUUGACGUUACCCGCAGAAGAAGCACCGGCUAACUCCGUGCCAGCAGCCGCGGUAAUACGGAGGGUGCAAGCGUUAAUCGGAAUUACUGGGCGUAAAGCGCACGCAGGCGGUCUGUCAAGUCGGAUGUGAAAUCCCCGGGCUCAACCUGGGAACUGCAUUCGAAACUGGCAGGCUAGAGUCUUGUAGAGGGGGGUAGAAUUCCAGGUGUAGCGGUGAAAUGCGUAGAGAUCUGGAGGAAUACCGGUGGCGAAGGCGGCCCCCUGGACAAAGACUGACGCUCAGGUGCGAAAGCGUGGGGAGCAAACAGGAUUAGAAACCCCAGUAGUCCCAUGAU
rnacentral:rRNA from 1 species